rnacentral:tRNA from 2 species
ACGUUGGUGGUUCAGUGGUAGAAUUCUUGCCUUCUACGUGGGAGACCCAGGUUCGAUUCCUGGCCAAUGCA